GACGAACGCUGGCGGCGUGCUUAACACAUGCAAGUCGAACGGAAAGGCCCUGCUUUUGUGGGGUGCUCGAGUGGCGAACGGGUGAGUAACACGUGAGUAACCUGCCCUUGACUCUGGGAUAACUUCAGGAAACUGGGGCUAAUACCGGAUAGGAGCUCCUGCUGCAUGGUGGGGGUUGGAAAGUUUCGGCGGUUGGGGAUGGACUCGCGGCUUAUCAGCUUGUUGGUGGGGUAGUGGCUUACCAAGGCUUUGACGGGUAGCCGGCCUGAGAAGGUGACCGGCCACAUUGGGACUGAGAUACGGCCCAGACUCCUACGGGAGGCAGCAGUGGGGAAUAUUGCACAAUGGGCGGAAGCCUGAUGCAGCAACGCCGCGUGCGGGAUGACGGCCUUCGGGUUGUAAACCGCUUUCGCCUGUGACGAAGCGUGAGUGACGGUAAUGGGUAAAGAAGCACCGGCUAACUACGUG
rnacentral:rRNA from 1 species